CGACCGGCGCACGGGUGAGUAACACGUAUCCAACCUGCCUCAUACUCGGGGAUAGCCUUUCGAAAGAAAGAUUAAUACCCGAUGGCAUAGUUCUUCCGCAUGGUAGAACUAUUAAAGAAUUUCGGUCAUCGAUGGAGAUGCGUUCCAUUAGCUUGUUGGCGGGGUAACGGCCCACCAAGGCAUCGAUGGAUAGGGGUUCUGAGAGGAAGGUCCCCCACAUUGGAACUGAGACACGGUCCAAACUCCUACGGGAGGCAGCAG
rnacentral:rRNA from 1 species